UUCCUGAUACCUGGGUAUGACUCACCUAC
rnacentral:sRNA from 1 species